rnacentral:lncRNA from 1 species
UUUCAUGUAAUGGCUGCACUCUAGAUCUUCUCUGACAUAUCCUUUCCCUAAAUACAAGUUAUAUAAAAAGGGACAGUUAGCACUUAGCACAGCAAGCCACAUGUCAACUAGUGUGCCAUCUUUCACACCAGAAAUCAAAGUCCUACCAAUUAUAAAAACUUGGUUUUACCAGUUGAUGCGAAAGUUUCGAUUGCAAAAAAUUCACCCUCUUCCAUUUUUGUCUGCUCCCCACCUUUUACAAUGGGAACUGAUUUUCCAGCAUGGAUUUGGUAAGGUCCAAUGCUAUGUCCAUUCAAGUUCCGGAUACUUUUAACUGCCAUAAGUAUCCAUAAUUAAUGAUAUGACAAGAGAAGAUAUAAAAAGCUCUAUUUAUUAAAGAAAAUAAGUAUGCUGGAAGUAAAAAUACAAUACAUCAUACCAUUAACACUGACAAUUGACAAAGGUAACCAUCUCUCACAUGAGUCAAAUCAAAAGGAAAAUUACCUUGAAACACCUUCCCAUUGAUUUCAACCUCAUAUGAUUCCAUGACUUCUUGAAUUGCAGCACCAACAUCACAAAGACGCACAUCAAUUCCAGACUCCUAAAAAAAUAAGACCGAGAAUAACUAUGUAAGAAGCUGUUUGAUUGAAGCACUAAAGUCCAGUACUGGUAAAAAUACCAUGCUGUAAUCCAGCGAUGAUGAUCAAUCAAGAUAGUAAUAAUUAGAGACCAGAAUACAAUUUACAACCCUGAGGUUUACAUAGUUUUCCAAGGUCAUACCUGUGAGGAGCCUGAAGUAGGAGUUCUAGAUACCAACAGCUAAGUAAGAAACCAAUGCGAGAAAAAGAAGAAAAAAAGAAGAAAAUAAAAGAACCUUUGUAGUAUUCAUGAACAUAAGAGAUGUAACUUGGAUGAUAUCCCACAUAUGCAUACAACAGAUUCAUUUCCAAUACAGCUCUUUGGUUUUUCUUUUUCCUUUUUUUUCUUUUUGCAGAGACCACGCCUCAGUCCCUUCUAUGGUCUGCCUAACUCCUGUUGCUCAAUAUUUGACAAAGUCAAGACCAAAAUAUUCGUUAUUUCUUGAUACCUGACCGUCAGUUUAGUCAAACAACAAGUGAUGCUCCAGCACUAGCGGCACCCGUGAUCUCUUGUCUCUUGGAGAGUAUAUUGGGAUUUCACUGCUUUUUUCUUUUGUUGCUACCUUCUAUAUUUGUGUAUUGUAUUUACUAUUUAUUCACUGUCUUCUAGAUGGUCUUGGGUGCAAAAGGCUGCCAAAAAAUCUAAAAGCAUGCCCGCAGUCCUGUCAACCCUCCCACCCUAUCUGCCCUGCCUACUCUCUAUAAUACUACAAGUGUUAGGAAUGCUUCUUCCUUUUAGUUAUUUUCCUCGUUUUGUUCUCUGAUAGGAACCACGUUACUGUGGAAGAAAAAGAGAUACAGGAGCUGUGGAUAAGAAGUUGACAGCACCAAAGAACAGGGCAAAAAAAAAUCAUCAAAACAAACAUGAGCAAGAAAACAUCAGUAACACAUUAGCCUAGGAGACACAAAGCCUGAAAACUAAGUUUCAGCAUCCUUUAAGUUCUCAACAAUAGAAGACAGGGUGUAGUUAUUAAUUCAUUAAAAAUAGACGCCCAUAAGGAUGAUAAGAACCUAUGUCUCUGAAAGCUCAUCACUCCCUCACCACCUUUCUAGUCUUCCCUUCGGUUUUCCAUAGACUUGAAUAACACAAUAUUGAAUACUUGGGCUCGUUAACAGUGUAAAAAGAAGGGGAAAAAAUGACUUGAUUGCACAUAUGUUUCAACAAAGUUAGUAUAUAUGAUGUAAUCUUGAAAAAUGAGUAUAAUAGACUUAUGUGAGAUGGAUAUCUAUCAUUCUUGAAUUUUGAUAACUUAGAGUCAUUUUCUACUUACUCAUCAUAUUAUCCACUCAAACAUCUGUCCUUAUACUCACAACAACAAACAAACACUUUACAAGCAAUAAUUUUCAUGCACUUCAGCCAAAGAGUUAUACAGAUUUCGAUGGACUUGCAGAAAUUGGACUGUAAGUACCUUGAUACCAGUAUUUGUUGCUUCACGUGAGGCUUCAAGUAGUGGAUUAAACAUAGGAUUGAAUGCUACUGUAAAGGCACAGUCAACUAUAUGACCUGUAAAGUCAACAACAACUCAGAUGAUUCCUUGCCCUUCAAAGUAUAUGAUAGUUCACACCAAGAGGUAACUUCUGAAGAGACAUCGAAAUACAGUCAAGCAGUUCAAAUUGAAUUACCAUCAACAUGAGUUCCAAAAUCUAGCUUCAUCACAUCAUCAUACUGAAGCACUGUUUUGUCCCCUGUAUUUGGGGUCCAAUGAGCAGCAACCCUGAUAAUACGGAUCAAUGAAUAUAAACACAACAAUAUGAAGAACGAUAGAUGAAAUAAAAUUCAUGGCUGACAUAUUAAAAAAGAUUACCAAUUCAAAGAGCAUCCUGUGGGGAAUGCAAUGCCUGCUUCCAGACCAUUCUCGGAUAUUAAUCUACGGACUGUGUUCUCCAAAGUCUCACACAAAUCAGUCAUCAACAUUCCAGGCUUUAAGAUCGAUCUAAUGUAUUUCCGUACCUAUUUUAAGUGUUAUCAAAGAUAACAGUAAGUUUCCUCUCCGCAAGAUAUAAUGAAAAAUGCAUUAUAUUGACAUAAUGAAAUUGCACCUGGCGAUGAACUUCUGCAGCUCGACGAACUGAAUUAUAUAAUGGUUUUUCAAGGCGCUCCAACUCCCUCUUCUCUUCAGAGGUAGUCCUCCACAAGUUGCUGAAAAACAAUGCAAAUUUUAAAUAAAAAAAAAAACAAUGAAACAAAAUUAGGAUGCUUUCAAUUUAUAGGAUAAUAUGUCCAACAAAGAGAAUAUUCCAUUAGUGAUUUGAAAUAUGUAAGCUUGCAAGAAAAUAGCAUAUACUCACUCGUCUCUGUAUUGUUGAAUUUCACCCUCAGGAUACUCCCCAUGAGGGAAUAGAUCAAUAAGUGGAAUGGAUGGUGGAUCAGUUUGCCUACUUUUUGAUUGUGGAUUAGUCAACCCACUUGUAGAUUGUGGAUCAGUUUUCCCACUUGUAGUCUGUGGGUCAGUUAGCUCUGUCUGUGCUUUCUUUUUCCUACACAUAAGAAAAGAUAUUAUAAGCUUUCUAGUAAAAUAGUUCCGGAAAAACCUUAUUAAAACCAGAAAUGUUCCUUACUUGCUCUUAUUUUUCUUCUUCUUUUUCUUUGAAACAUCUGCACGAUGCAAAUAUUAGGAACACAUCAACAAAUUGGAGUAUACAACGCUAUAGCUGUCCAGCAAAAGUAAAACUCCACUUACUAUUAAAGUAAAUUCACAAUACUAAGAACUUCCAAAGGUAUAGAUACUUUUUAAUGGAACUCUUAACCCUGGAGAGGAUUUACCCACUUGCUACCCUAGGGAUUCUUAGGGACAAAACCAGUGACUGGGUGGAUGGUGUGAUCAGUUAUGUAACCUUAUAAAUAAAAAUACAUGACAGUGGAAUUCAAAUGGUUUUCCUGUUUUUGCAUCCAAAUUCCCAAAAUAAAAGGUCAGUCACAACUGGUUGGGAAAAUAAUUGGACAAGUGUAUGAACAGUCAAGACUUAGACAAAACUUAAGGGACCUAAAUACAACCCUUACAUGGAUUACAUAAAUACAGUCCAAGAUUUUGAUAAACGUUUAUUUUCUCUUCUAAUGGCCGGGAAAAUUAUAUGGUGGAACACCUAACUCCAGAUGAAGAAUAAAGGUGGUUACAUGCACUGUUAUGGCACAAAUUCCGCAAACAAGGAGGAAAUAUAUAGAUUCCUUGUUCUACAUACUUCAUGUGGCCUUCACUACUUUGGAUAAUAAGCCAAAUCGGACGUAUAGCAAACUGACAGCUGAUUAGGAUGUACUAAAUUACUUGAUUAUCAACCCAAUCUGAGAAGGUGCUAUCUGAGGCAGGCCUCUCCAGUUUUGAAUCUUAACAUCCUAGCAUAUUCUAGUAUCAUUUGGUCCAUCCUUUAAGUUCUAUGAUUGCACAAAGUUCCAUCCGCCCUCUCCUAAGUGAUACAUCAAUAUAAGUCACGGAGAAAUAACAGUGGCAUGACCGUGGCAUUGAAUACAAACAUAUUACCUUUGUCUUCAUCCUCAUCUUUCUCAACGGUUGGAGAUUGUUCAGUGGCUUCUCCACAACCAUUCGAAGAUUCUACGAUCCCAUUCUCCUCGCAAGGAAUAUUCUCAUCCAAGUCCUCCCCUGCCAUACCUAAUUAAAUGGAAAAUCCUCUCAAGUUUAAAUUUGAACAAAACAAAAGGACACCGCUUAAAGCCCGGCUGGGCCAGCUCUCAUCUAUCAGUCCAUGAGAAAAUGCAACAUUAUAAAAUAACGAAAAGAAAAAAAACAGAAAUUAGCAAAACAGAACAUUUCGAACCCAAAAUAGACAAAGUAGCAUCAACCGACUUGUGGUUGGUAGGCAAAAUCCGCUACCAAUAACAGCCGCGGUACCGGUUGGUAGUGAUUUUCAGAUUUUCUACACUACUGCUCUCUCCAAUUACGAAUGCUCAAAUGCUACUCUAAAGCCCCCAAUUGCCAACUUGAACUACAAAACCUUCACAUGGAUCAUUGAAUCCAUCUAAAAUUGAAUAUGCCAGCAUAGAUGAACCAACUUUAAUCCUAUUCACCAUUAUUGUAAAGUUUAUGCAUACAGAAUUCGUUUUCAAACCUCUGAAGCACAGAAAACCCAGUACAAAAACAUGAAUGAAAUCAAAAAAGUUUGAAACUUUAGAAACCCCAACAAAACUAUUCCAAGUCCCAACUCAGAUAUUCACAAAUGGGCUGUAACAUUACCUACUCUUAAACAAGCACAGGCAUACGUAGGAGACGACGUCGACGAGCUUGGUGUUGAGGUUGACGAAGUCGGCCUAUAGCCGCGGAUGAUGAGGUCGAUGAGGUCGUGGUUGCGGGAGGCGAGGUAGGACUCGAGCUCGGAUCGGAGGAAGUCGAAGUCCGGCGAGAGAAAGAGCGCGGGGUUGAACCAGAGGGGUCGGAGAAGAAGUCGACAGGUUUGAGGUGGGAGGCUGAGAGAGAUUUGAGUGAUCGAGUCUGUGUUUUAGACUUUGACUAGGGUUUUCUAAUACAAUGAACGGUUCAGAUUAGCUCAAACAAUAAUUAUUUAAAUAAAUACAAAAUAUUAUUAAAUAUAUUGGUACGGUAUACCAUGUCAAUACCGUACUAAUUGCAAUUGGUACGGUUGUACCAUUUUAAACUUUCGGUACCAACUUGGUUUGGUUCGGUUGGUUGGUUUGGUUUAGACUUAAAUGUCGGCCCUACAAAAUAACAUCAUAAAGUUCAUAACUGAGCACAGCUAAAUGACAAUAGCUAAUAUAAGAAAAUACAGCACAUUUGGUAUAAGAGAUUGUCUAACCCAGGCUUAAUUUCUAAUGGAGUCCAACACUACUCAAGUCAGGCUUAUUCUACAAUAAGUCUAACCCAUGUUUGGUGGCAGUAUGACUGAAAAUAACACCACCUGCAAACAACUUCAAAAGCAAUAAACAAUUGAACACAAACCCAUAAGCAAUGAACGACUUCAGCCAAUGGGUUGGCAAUGAACACAGUCUCCAUAAGCAAUGAACAAUUGAACACAAAACCCAUCUUUCAUAAAUAGAUCAAACUUCAACAAAUUAAAGGCUUCAAAUAUUUCUUUUUUCAUUCUUCAGCAUUAGAAGUUACAUUUACAACAGAAAAGUGAAAUACUCUUACUUUAGAAUCAAACUACUGCAAAGGCACCGAUUACAUCAAUUAUGCAGCUUUUGUCCUCCCAUCAAACCUAACUUCCAAAGAGAUCGAACCAAAUUAAAAAGAAGCACAAAUUCCUCCAAAAGCAAGCAAGAGAAGACGACCAGAUCGUGGAUCUUGCCGGCGAGCAACACGUCGUCCGAGUACUCUUGAUCGACUUAGGCUGACACAAGGGCUUCCCCAUCUAGAGAAGCUGGGCUUUGUUCAUCUCAGUACAAAAAAUUUGUCCUCUUUGAUGACGAUGACAAGAAUUUGAAGAGAUAAGACACAUAAGAAUCAGAAACCCUUAUAUAUAGAGUGGGUAAUCGAUGAAGAUCCAGACAAAAAGCAAUUGGAGGUGAGAGGGGAGGCAAGGCUGAAGCAAAGAAUUCAGUUUUAGGAGAAAAAAAAAAUUAGGUGUGUAUUGGAUGAUAGAUGGUCCCCUGAUUUUUGAUGGGUUUGUGGUAGAAGGUUUGAAGGUGGGCCCGGGGACUGUAACUUCAUUUAAAAUAGUCAUUCUCUCUCCCAAACAUGGGACAAGUCUUAUUUCUUUAUGUAAGUAGUCUAGUCCCCACUAAUCCUGUGAAACAAACGUGUUCUAAGUAAUAAAAUGAAAUGGCAAGUCAAUGACAGACCAAAAGAUUUAUAGUUAGUCAUCAUUAGAUUUAAAUCUAAUGGUAGAAAGAAUUAUUUUUAAGUAGAGCUGUUUUGUUUUCAACCAUUGGAUAUAAAUCUAAUGGUGACUGACCAUGAAUCUCUUGGUCAGUCAUUGAACAUGUGAACACUACUUAUCCAAAUAUAAAUAUUCAUCUUAGAAAAUUUCUAGAAAGAAAGGCUCUUCCUUCUCUCUAAAAAUUUUCUCCAUCACAACCAAUAUUUUGAGAGUCAUCCGAAGCCAACCCCUUCCACCACCACCACCAUCAUCUUCAUCCCAUCCACUCACUCCAUCUCCUUCGUCCCUUGCACAUAGCCUCCCUUUUGUAGACCCACUUUCUCUUUCCUCUCUCUUCUUCAACUACAUCACCCCUCUACCACUUCUAGCUCUUCACAAUCAAUGCUGCUCUCAUCAGUCCUUCACCGUUGAGAGUACAUCUCACUCUUACCACCUUCAAUACUGUCACAUCCCGGUUCUUAAAUAAUUUUGUGGUUACUUACUUUUGCGAUAAUUUGAUCUUUUACCAUUUUAAGUAACCGUUUACUAUUUAGGGACCCUAGAGUUGACUUUUCAUAAGAAAAAUAUUUUGGAAAAAUUUCUUAAAGGGAGUCGUAGAAGACAUUAAUACGAAUCUAUAAAUAUGCUAUACGUUUUAAUCGGAGUUCGUAUGUAAAAGUUAUGGUGUAAAAUCUAAAGUUACUAUUUCAGUCGGGAGUAUAAAAAGGGAAACUUACCAAAAGGGGUAAGGUAGAAAUCAGAAAUGUAAUACCCUAGAUUUUCAUAUCAAUUUUCCUCGUAUUAUUUCCGGAAUUAAUGAAGGAAUAUUUAUGGAAAUUCUUAUUUGGUUGUGCGAAGUUGAAAUUUGGGAGUAUUUUUUUUAGGUGCUUUGUCUUUUAAGAGAUCAAAAAGUUGACUUUAUUUUCCGUAAGUUAUUUUCGAAAACUUCCUUCAUAAAAGUUGUAGAGUUUGUCGAUACGAGUUCAUAGACACACGGCAGGUGUAAAUCAGAUGUCAUAUGAGAAAGUUAUGGUUAUAGGAAGUUAGUUUUCGGUUUUAGAAAGAGUAUAAGUAGAAAAAUUUGUGGGAGUUAUUUUUUGGAAACCCUAAAGUCAGCUCUCUCUCUCUUCUCUCUUCUCUCUCUUCCUCUCCCGAGCUCACCUCAUGCAGCUAACUUUCGUCGGAGCUAGGUCCGCUGUCCGGCCACCAUUUGGACCGCCACCGGUCCCAUUCGACUCCCACAGGUGUCCUCUUCAAGGCUGGGCAGCUGCUACUCGACGUAGCGCUCCGGAAUCGGAGCCCCUUGCCGGAAAAGGGAGCUGCUGCAUCGCCGAUCGGAACUGUCGUAUAUGGCGACGACGGGGGGCAACCAUAGGUGAGUUUUGGUCCUCUCCUCCUCUUGGUUGUGGCUAGGCAUAGUUUGAAGCAAGUUUUUGAGUUGUUGUGCCUGGAUUUGCAGAUUUAAGGUUAAUCUCCAUGAUGGAGUUUCGAGGCACUGUUCGGCCGUUUCUGGUCAAAAUAGGUUGAAACCUCAAGUAUUAAAGUUGCUCUCCAUGCUUCAAUCUACAAGUUUCAUGUUGAGAGUUUCCCCAAAUUUUGAAGUUGGGGGUGACGCGUGGGGCUCACUCGCCGCCGCCUGUAGCGGAGCUUCCAGGCAGUGUGGGGGAUUUGGUUGCCGUGUUAGCUAGUCCUUGUUAGUUACUAGUGUGUUGUUGUGUGUGAAGGCUAAGUGGUGUUUUGGUUUUGGUAUCUUAGGUGCUAUGUUGUUCUUGGUGUUUAUUAGGUCAUAAACUUUGAAAGUUUAAUCUUGGAGGUAGUAUGAUUUGUUAGUUGAGUGUCCAAUGACCUUGGGAGGUCUCGGAGGAAUGAUUGUACUUCUUUGGGCAACCUUUAGGUUAAGGGUACCUUGAUCCUUGUUGAGAAAUUACUAAAGUUUUAAUUGUGUAAUUUUAGGUGAUUUGUGAGGUUGUAGUUUAGUUUGGCUCUUGUGUUUUGCGGAAACGCAGCAGGAUAUUGAAGUGAGUAAAUCUCACCAAGGUUCACUUUUGAAUCAAAUUUUAUUAUGGUCAUUUGAUGUUGAUGUUGAAUUUAAUAAUAUGCUAUUAUUUGUUUUUAAAAUAUAUGAGCUUAAUCAUCAACGAUUCAUAGGUAAGAUAAAACAAGUUUUCCUUAUAUGUUUAUUUUUGAGGUUCAUGUGAUCAUAAUUUUAUUGAUUAUUGAUAGAUUAUUCUUGUGGAAUAUCUAUAUUUAUUCAUAUAAAUAUAUAUAUGUGGAAAGAUAUAAUUUAUGAUGUGAUCUUGUGUUGUUGAUGAUGGUGUUGUGAUAUUGUGAGUGUUGGAUAAAUAGCCAAACCGGGUUUCAAGCCUUUAAUCGGGUGAUUGGUUACGGUUAUGAUGAUAUUUUUAUUUUGUGAUUUGUUAUUGGACAAUUAAACUGGGUUCCAAGCCUUUGGCCGGGUGAUUGGUUACGGUUAGGAAUAGAGCUAUAGUCCGUCUGUCGGUGUAGGUCAUGGGAGAUAUCUUAUGGUAUCUGGGACCCAUGGGUACACAAAUUGUUGUUGUAGGUCAUGAGAGGUAUUUAUUAAUAUAUGGGACUCAUGAGUACAUGUUAUUUGUAAAAAUGUUGGAAUUGUGGAUUUAAUUAUAGAUCUAAAUUUUGCUCUUGGGAUAUAUUUGGAUGUUUAAAAGUGUUGUGUUAUUUUUGAGAGAUUACUCAUACGGGCUUUUUAGCUUACCUGGUUUGUUGUUUACAACCCGGUUCACCAAUUCUUGGUGUAGGGGUUAGACCUGCAGGUGAGGAUCAGCAGGGUUGAAGCGGAGGCUUAGUGGUAGGGUUUUUAUUGGGUUUUGAUGUUCACUGUAUAUUUUUAUAUUUGGGGUAGACAGUAUUAAACUCAUGUGAGUGUUUUUAUUUUCUUGAUUUUCAAGUUUAUGUAAAUAAAGAAAUGUAAUAUUUAACUCAGUGUUGAAUUGUGUGACAUUUACAUUUUCGCAUUGAGUUUUAGUUUUCCUUGAAGUUUGUUUGAAACAGGUUUUGAGAUUAUAAUAUUUUAGGUUAUAUCAUGCCAAAUUUUUUAAAAAUUAUCCUUCGAAAAAUUUUCAAAAAAAUUAAGGGUGUGACAAGAAAGUUACACUCCCUCUCUCUCUCUCCUCUCCCCCGCAACUCUCUCCUCUGACAGACAUCUCGCCACCGUCCGCUGUCGUCCGGCCGAGUCGAGCGGCAAACUUGGUAUCAAAUUGAAGCUGGGAUCUUCCUCUUCAAGUCUAGGUAGGUGGCUAGUCGUAAUGUGCCGCCUUGAAGGAGAAAUCACUCCGGAAAGGCGUGCCUUCACCGCCGAGUUCUUCUCGCCGGAACUCCCUUCUCCAGCCAUCAUAGUUGAAGCUUCUUGUCUUGUUUGGAAGCUCUCAUCUUGUACAACAAAACCUCAAAAGGUUUCAACCUAAUUCGAUCUAGGUAAGGAGAAUCGUUGAUUUGAAAUUUUAGGGUUCUUGAAAUGGGGUUUUUAUGUUUUGGUUCGAUUUGCCUAUUUAGACAAAAUGGAGACCGUAUCCAACCACUGUGAACCUUCUACCUUCGACACUUGUAGGCGAGCCACACCGUUGAACCACUGACGCUGGACCAUCCACCAACAACUGUGAGGUGUCGCACCAAUCCCGCAACACUCCCAUCUUUGAUUUGUCCGUCUUCCGUGCUAAAUCCAUCAAUGCAGCAACAACCACAUGUUAGAGAGAAAAACUACUCCUCGAUUCGAGCCUUUGAACGAAAGAGUACAUCCACAAAGCCUGUAUACAGCCUUUACAUCGACAGUCAGCCUCUUAAGUUACUCAGGUACCAUUUUUCCUGUACAUCCACAAAGCCUCUGACCGCGGCCAUCGUACACCGGCGUGGCCAGAGGCUGACACCAACUGAAAGUAUAGAAUGGAACAGAAUAUGGAAGGAUUGAAUAUGUAGAUUCAAUCCUUUAUCAAAUUAAAAGCAACAGACACAAGAACACAAGAUUUUGUUAACAACAAUGUAAACCUCCCACGAGGAAACGUCACUACGAGACUUUUAAAGUAGUCUAUACUAAAUCAAAUCCAUUAUAGAGUAAGAAUGAUUACAGACCUAUCAAAUAGGAUAUUCAACACAAUCACAUUCACUAGUAUACAAACUAACUUGAUACAAACUGAUAACCUUAUUCUAACUCUCCAUGAAUCUGAGUUGCACACAAGAAGGAUCUGAACACGCCUUCAAUGCUUUCCAAGCCACUGAUCUUGAUCACUAUAAGAAUGACAGAUGCAAUGAUACAAGCAUAUAAUUUGACAAGAGUUUUCACAUAAACAAUGCAGACUAUGCAACAUAUACUUUAUUCUUUUGACGCACAUAAACUCUGUAGUUUGGAAAAGUAUUUCCAUGUUUAUAUAUAGAGUGAUACAACUCCCACAUAAUCGAUCACCAUUGAUCACUGAUUAGGAUAAACAUGGAAACCAAUUUUGAAACCAUAAUCAGAUAUAUUUUCCAUAACAGAAAGAUAUGAUAAGAGUAAAACUUUUCCAAAACAAAGUAAGUGAAAGAAUAUAAUCAUAUUAGAACUUCUUUCCUUACGCAUUAUCAUAUUAGAAUAUAGAGAGAAUAAUUUCCUUAUUAAAAUACUAAUCAAAUUAGAUUUAAUAAGGAAAUUCAAUCAGAUAUUUAAGCACAUAAAAUCUAAUCAAAUUAGGUUUCCUUUCUUUUCUCAUGCAGCAAUAAAACACGAAAUACACUCCUUAAAAUGAAUGAAUAUCACCUGCAAUGAAACUUGUUCAAAUUAGAAUUAAGAAAGGAAAUAUAUCAUAUUUGGUGAGAGAUUACUUUUGUAUAGGAAUGACAAUCAUGAAUAUUAUGCCUACACCAACGCCGCAACGUAGCUGGACAAGAGGGAGAGAGCACCAUAGAGAAUUCUAAGUUACACGUGUGUGGCGUGUUCUAGAAAAAAGAGAGCGUAAAAAAAUGUACCGCUAACUAGUCCUUAACUUAAGAGUCCUUAUUAAAAUGACUCUUUUUUAUUAAAUGAUGAAAUGGUGUAUACAUGGUAUCAAAUUCUGGUUUUUUUUUUAGUGAAAAAUUCUGGUUUUAGGUAAGAGGCUCUUGCAAAACGAAGAUUUGAGAUCAGUUAAUUCCUUGUUAGUCUAGUUGCUUUAGCACUUGUAUUCAUUCCGUUCCAUGUUAGCUUCCAAAAAACAAUAGAAAAAAACACUUUCAGAUCGAUCAGGGCUGACAUUUGAGUAGAACCACCUACCUUGUCAAGAGUCCGUAUUUAAUCUUGAGCUAACAAUUUCAAGUUUAAUGAGGAUCCCCUUACCAACACUGAUUUUCAUAGGAACAUUCGGAGAGAAAAUUAGAGCUGUCCUGGCUCAUUGGGGAAAAAACAAGGAAAAAGGUUGGAGAACGGCUUUAAAUGUAACUUGUUAGUCUUUUGGAACCAUGUACCACAAAAAACAUAAAAACAGAUGACUGUUCAGUUAAUUAAAAUUCUGGGUAAGGGUGGGCAUAAAAUCUCGUAAUCCCGAACCUGUUCCGAUCCCGUCCCAAAAUUUGUCGGGAUGGGACGGGAUUUAAAUAUCAAAACAUUAGACCCGUCCUGUCCCAUCCUUAUACAACGGGACGGGACGGAUAAUUCAAGUCCCGUUUAGACCCGUCCUAUCCCAACUAUUUUAAUAAUUAAUUUUUUGUUGAUUAAUAUGUGAUUUGAAGAUUUCAUUUAAGUGUUUUAAUCUUAGCUCUUUGUUUUUUAAGUUAAUAGAUUGUCUCCAAUUCAAUAACAUUGAUGUUUAAUACUUUAAUUUGUUGAUUGUUGUAGACUCUCUUCUUGCACUGCACGGUAGUAGUGAUGAUAUGUUUAGAAAAAAUAAGCAGUAUAAACUCUCUUAUUAUACCGUGUUGUACUUGUAAAUAUGUUACAAGUACUUGUUAAUAGUUAAUAGAAUAAAGAACACUAUAAAACUAUGAAACUCUUUCUUUUACUUAUAAAUUUAUUUUCAACUUCUUUUAUCCGGGAUUGGGCCCGUCCCAACCGGGAUAGGACCCGGGUGGGAUAAAAUCUAAAAAAUGCAAAACCCGUCCCGUCCCGUCCCGUCCCGUCCCGAUUUCAAUAUCCGGGACGGGCCGUGAGAUUUGCUCUAUCCCGUCUCAUCCCGUCCCAAGCCCACCCCUAAAUUUCUGGGAAUCAGAAAUAAAAACAGAAGGAAAGAAGGAAAAAAAAAAAAGGAAUGAAAAAACACAGUACAACGCCCUGCAGAUAUGCAUGGCAAUUUUUAUCUUCAUGAUCAGUAAUCAUCGCCUCUUGAUAUGACCUCUUUACAGGUUGGCCGAAGUAAAAUUGUAUGUUCAAACUGAGAUACAUAGCUUCCCUUAACAUCACAGAGAGGAGGACAGGGCUGCCAGAAGAAACAAACCAUCACAUUAAUUUCAGUUGAGCAAAAUGGGAAGAUUAACAGAAGCUAUGUUGUAUUAUAUAAAGUUAAGAUGAUCCCUCAAGCAUCCCUUAACGGGAAAAAUAAUGCACAUAUUUUGUAGUCAGCAACAUUUAUCAACUAAGAAAUUGUCAAGCUGGUCAAUUUUACAAUACAAGGCAAAUAUGAAAUCCCACCAACAGGGAGAGUCCCUAGGUACACAAGUGUAUAUUUGCAAAAUAGAUUUUUACCGAAGAUAUUUCAAUUUGAUCAGGCAAAAUUUUAUGUCUCUGAGAGGCCUGUUUUACAACCCACAUUAAAGCAGACUUUCACAAAAGAGCAUCCAUGUCUAUGAAGUUCCUAUUGCUUAUCACUAGUAGUCAGAUCCUAACAUGAUUUGUUUGUUUCCAUCAGUUCAGCAUAUGCUCUACCUACUUAUCAGUUGUCAUGCAAUGCAAGCAAUCCCUAAUACAUGGUUUCCCGUACAAAGAAAUUCACAUUAGUACCAUAAAGCUGAAAGCAAUGUCCACCUUUUAUUUAUGAUUAGUAGUCACAGAUCCUUGUGUGUUAACAGGAAAAACGGUUCCUGAGUGCAAACUAUUUGAGUUCACAUCUCAGACACACACUUAGACUGCACCUCCUAGAUUCUAUAUUUCUCAUGUGACAUUAUAGCUCACAGCUAACUUAUAUAAUUUUCAUGUAAACCAUUUUCCAUAAGACUUGAGCAUGUUAAAGCAUCAACAAAAAGGCAUGCAAAUCAUGGACAUAAAACAACUUCUUCACUUGUGACAGUUACAGAUUGUGUGUCAUGAACUGGAAAAUUUGUGGUACUUUAUAAGACUGAAUUCUUGUGGAUGAUUGUUGCAUAAUAACAAAAGUUAAACUAAAUGCAAGAUUCACAAUGCUAAAUAAGUAAUCCGAGAUGAAACAAUGUUAUUUUAUGGGUACUGACAUCGGCAGUUAAUGUAUAGAUAUUUGGAUAAAUGCUCAUGAAUGAAAUGUACCUGCACAAUGCCAGCAUCACAUAAAUUCUUAAGCGCCAUAAGAUACUUUGUCUCCCCCAGGCGGUCUAAAUAUCGCCUGCAGAAGGCCAAUGUGGAGAAGUUCUUGUUAAUUGUUGCUAGCAGUUGCUUUGCCCUAGGCAGCCUCAGUGGGAUGUGACCCGCAUCAAAAUUUUUCAUGUAAUGGCUGCACUCUAGAUCUUCUCUGACAUAUCCUUUCCCUAAAUACAAGUUAUAUAAAAAGGGACAGUUAGAACUUAGGACAGAAAGCCACAUGUGAACUAGUGUGCCAUCUUUCACACCAGAAAUCAAAGUCCUACCAAUUAUAAAAACUUGGUUAUACCAGUUGAUGCGAAAGUUUCGAUUGCAAAAAAUUCACCCUCUUCCAUUUUUGUCUGCUCCCCUCCUUUUACAAUGGGAACUGAUUUUCCAGCAUGGAUUUGGUAAGGUCCAAUGCUAUGUCCAUUCAAGUUCCGGAUACUUUUAAC